rnacentral:rRNA from 1 species
UACGUAGGAUGCAAGCGUUGUCCGGAAUCACUGGGUGUAAAGGGUCCGCAGGUGGAUUUGUAAGUCUGUGGUGAAAUCUUACGGCUCAACCGUAAAACUGCCACAGAUACUGCUUUUCUAGAGUGUGAAAGAGGAAGAUGGAAUUCAUGGUGUAGCAGUGAAAUGCGUAGAUAUCAUGAAGAACACCGGUAGCGAAGGCGAUCUUCUGGUUCACUACUGACGCUCAUGGACGAAAGCGUGGGGAUCAAACAGGAUUAGAAA